AAAACCUUACCUACCCUUGACAUGGCAGGAAUCCCGGAGAGAUUCGGGAGUGCUCGAAAGAGAACCUGCACACAGGUGCUGCAUGGCUGUCGUCAGCUCGUGUCGUGAGAUGUUGGGUUAAGUCCCGCAACGAGCGCAACCCUUGUCAUUAGUUGCUACGAAAGGGCACUCUAAUGAGACUGCCGGUGACAAACCGGAGGAAGGUGGGGAUGACGUCAAGUCCUCAUGGCCCUUAUGGGUAGGGCUUCACACGUCAUACAAUGGUACAUACAGAGGGCCGCCAACCCGCGAGGGGGAGCUAAUCCCAGAAAGCGUAUCGUAGUGUUUAUUGCAGUGUGCAACUCGAAUGCAUGAAGUUGGAAUCGUUAGUAAUCGCGGAUCAGCAUGUCGCGGUGAAUACGUUACGGGUUCUUGAUACACCGCGGGUCACCCAUGGGAGCGGGUUUUACCAGAAGUAGGUAGCUUAACCGCAAGGAGGGCGCUUACCACGGUAGGAUUCGUGACUGGGGUGAAGUGGUAACAAGGUAA
rnacentral:rRNA from 1 species